rnacentral:rRNA from 1 species
ACGAGUUUGAUCCUGGCUCAGAACGAACGCUGGCGGCAUGCCUAACACAUGCAAGUCGAACGAGACCUUCGGGUCUAGUGGCGCACGGGUGCGUAACACGUGGGAAUUUGCCUCGGGGUAUGGAAUAACUCAGGGAAACUUGAGCUAAUACCAUAUAAUGUCUUCGGACCAAAGAUUUAUCGCCCUGAGAUAAGCCCGCGUAGGAUUAGCUAGUUGGUGAGGUAAAGGCUCACCAAGGCGACGAUCCUUAGCUGGUCUGAGAGGAUGAUCAGCCACACUGGGACUGAGACACGGCCCAGACUCCUACGGGAGGCAGCAGUGGGGGAAUAUUGGACAAUGGGCGAAAGCCUGAUCCAGCAAUGCCGCGUGAGUGAUGAAGGCCUUCGGGUUGUAAAGCUCUUUACUCGGGACGAUAAUGACGGUACCGAGAGAAUAAGCCCCGGCUAACUCCGUG